rnacentral:rRNA from 1 species
UACGGGAGGCAGCAGUGGGGAAUAUUGCACAAUGGGCGCAAGCCUGAUGCAGCCAUGCCGCGUGUAUGAAAAAGGCCUUCGGGUUGUAAAGUACUUUCAGUCGUGAGGAAGGUGUUAAGGUUAAUAACCUUAGCAAUUGACGUUAGCGACAGAAGAAGCACCGGCUAACUCCGUGCCAGCAGCCGCGGUAAUACGGAGGGUGCGAGCGUUAAUCGGAAUUACUGGGCGUAAAGGGCACGCAGGCGGUUAAUUAAGUUGGAUGUGAAAUCCCCGGGCUUAACCUGGGAAUGGCAUUCAAGACUGGUUAGCUAGAGUCUUGUAGAGGGGGUUAGAAUUCCAUGUGUAGCGGUGAAAUGCGUAGAGAUGUGGAGGAAUACCGGUGGCGAAGGCGGCCCCUGGACAAAGACUGACGCUCAUGUGCGAAAGCUGGGGAGCAAACAGGGAUUAGAU